CAGUCGCCGCGGGAAUACGGAGGAUCCAAGCGUUAUCCGGAAUCAUUGGGUUUAAAGGGUCCGUAGGCGGUCUUGUAAGUCAGUGGUGAAAGCCCAUCGCUCAACGGUGGAACGGCCAUUGAUACUGCAGGACUUGAAUUAUUGGGAAGUAACUAGAAUAUGUAGUGUAGCGGUGAAAUGCUUAGAGAUUACAUGGAAUACCAAUUGCGAAGGCAGGUUACUACCAAUUGAUUGACGCUGAUGGACGAAAGCGUGGGUAGCGAACAGGAUUAGAUACCCGAGUAGUCCCUGUCUCUUAUAA
rnacentral:rRNA from 1 species